GAGGGUGUAGCUCAGGAGUAGAGUGCUUGCUUAGCAUGCACGAGGUCCUGGGUUCAAUCCCCACUCCCUCA
rnacentral:tRNA from 1 species